UACGUAGGGGGCAAGCGUUGUCCGGAUUUACUGGGCGUAAAGGGCGUGCAGGCGGUUUGUUAAGUCUAGGGUGAAAGCUCCCGGCUCAACUGGGAGAGGUCCUUGGAUACUGGCAGACUUGAGGAGGGUAGAGGAGAGUGGAAUUCCCGGUGUAGUGGUGAUAUGCGUAGAUAUCGGGAGGAACACCAGUGGCGAAGGCGGCUCUCUGGGCCCUACCUGACGCUGAGACGCGAAAGCGUGGGGAGCAAACAGG
rnacentral:rRNA from 1 species